GGCGCUAUAGCCAAGUGGUUACGGCGACAGAUUAGAAAUUUGUUCUCCUUUGGAGGCGCAGGUUCGAAUCCUGCUGGCGUCG